rnacentral:lncRNA from 1 species
AAAUAUCUUGGUGAUCUGCUUUAACCACGUCUCUGCCUUAAGUGGUUCUGGUUUACCCAAAAACUCCAGUGGUCCCAGCUCCUUGAACUGCUUAGCGGUGACCAAUCGUGGGUUGCCAUUAUUUCCACCUAUAUUUUGAACAGGAGUCUCUCUUACCUGAUGUUGCAUGAAUUGCAUAAAGCUUCUGAACAUCCCAUCGUUCGUCAUUAGAUCGAUAUUGUUGUUUAUCUGAGGAUUAUGGUCUUCUUGAUGCACAUUAUCCUGGGUAUUGAUCGUUGGUGACUCAACGGUCUCGUGUGCUCCAUUGCGUAUCUCCACAUUCUCGAAUGUCAUUUUCAAAUACUGCCACAAAACAAGGGUUAAUUGACAUGCCACAUAUUAUCCCUAUACUCUGACCGACCAAUUAAAUAACAAAUAAGCUUAGGUAGGUCAUACUAGCGAAGGAAUUACCCGUCUCUCCCCUCCUAGUUCUAGUCUCACAUCUUAGCCAGGGAUCAUAUCCCUAAGCUUUGAUACCAACUGUGACGCCCCCAAAAUAGGUAUACAUCACCUAUUCUGAGUCGCCA